rnacentral:lncRNA from 1 species
CAUGAGCAGGUCAUUGUUUCGCUCAGCCACAAGGAGAAGAGAAAUCAGCUCAGAGUAAUUUUUGAAACCUUUCUCUCUGUACUGUUGUGUCAGAACCAUAUUGGAGGCAUGAAACGUUGUAAACGUUUUUUCAAGCAUAUCAUAAGCAGUUAUAGUAUCUCCACAGAGUUUCAACUUAGAAGUAAUUUUAAACAUUGCAGAAUUAUAUUCAGAAACAGACUUAAACUCUUGGAGCCUCAGAUGAGCCCAAUCAUAUCGUGCUUGUGGCAGAGUGACCAACUUCAGGUUGUCAUAUCUCUCCUUUAAGCCUUUCCACAA